AUGCUUAGGAGGAUGUUCCAAGGUGGUCCUUCAAGGAAGCAAGGUCCCAGGCUUGCAACACGUGAUGCUGACGAGGAACCACCAAGAGACGCUCCUGUGAGGCCCUGUGAAUGGCCGUCGGAAAUUUUUAUGAAUCAAGUGGGGAUCAAAGAAGAAUUCAGCACAUAUUUGAGUAACGCCGGUCUUGAGGACUUUGAAGCUGACAAAUGCCCCCAGUAUCAUGAUCUCACAAGUUCAUUUGUGAGGAGGCGAGAGGAAGAUAUAUUAUUACCAGAGAGGAGGAAGAUGAGUACAAAAGGAGAGUGGAGGCUGCUCGACUCCAUGCUACAGCUCAGGCGGUGA
rnacentral:rRNA from 1 species